AUAUCUUGGCUCCUGCAACGAUGAAGAACGCAGCGAAAUGCGAUACGUAGUGUGAAUUGCAGAAUUCCGCGAAUCAUCGAGUCUUUGAACGCAAGUUGCGCCCGAGGCUUGCCCUCGGACAUUUCUGUCAGAGCGUCA
rnacentral:rRNA from 2 species